GAUGAACGCUGGCGGCGUGCCUAAUACAUGCAAGUCGAGCGAACAGACGAGGAGCUUGCUCCUCUGACGUUAGCGGCGGACGGGUGAGUAACACGUGGAUAACCUACCUAUAAGACUGGGAUAACUUCGGGAAACCGGAGCUAAUACCGGAUAAUAUAUUGAACCGCAUGGUUCAAUAGUGAAAGACGGUUUUGCUGUCACUUAUAGAUGGAUCCGCGCCGCAUUAGCUAGUUGGUAAGGUAACGGCUUACUAAGGCAACGAUGCGUAGCCGACCUGAGAGGGUGAUCGGCCACACUGGAACUGAGACACGGUCCAGACUCCUACGGGAGGCAGCAGUAGGGAAUCUUCCGCAAUGGGCGAAAGCUUGACGGAGCAACGCCGCGUGAGUGAUGAAGGUCUUCGGAUCGUAAAACUCUGUUAUUAGGGAAGAACAAAUGUGUAAGUAACUAUGCACGUCUUGACGGUACCUAAUCAGAAAGCCACGGCUAACUACGUG
rnacentral:rRNA from 1 species